GAUGAACGCUGGCGGCGUGCCUAAUACAUGCAAGUCGAGCGAACGGACGAGAAGCUUGCUUCUCUGAUGUUAGCGGCGGACGGGUGAGUAACACGUGGAUAACCUACCUAUAAGACUGGGAUAACUUCGGGAAACCGUAGCUAAUACCGGAUAAUAUUUUGAACCGCAUGGUUCAAAAGUGAAAGACGGUCUUGCUGUCACUUAUAGAUGGAUCCGCGCUGCAUUAGCUAGUUGGUAAGGUAACGGCUUACCAAGGCAACGAUGCAUAGCCGACCUGAGAGGGUGAUCGGCCACACUGGAACUGAGACACGGUCCAGACUCCUACGGGAGGCAGCAGUAGGGAAUCUUCCGCAAUGGGCGAAAGCCUGACGGAGCAACGCCGCGUGAGUGAUGAAGGUCUUCGGAUCGUAAAACUCUGUUAUUAGUGAAGAACAUGUGUGUAAGUAACUGUGCACAUCUUGACGGUACCUAAUCAGAAAGCCACGGCUAACUACGUG
rnacentral:rRNA from 1 species